UAGGGAAUAUUGCGCAAUGGACGAAAGUCUGACGCAGCAACGCCGCGUGGGUGAUGAAGUUUUUCGGAAUGUAAAACCCUGUCGGUGGGGAAGAAACGUACGAGUAGUAACUGACUCGUGCCUGACGGUACCCACAGAGGAAGUCCCGGCUAACUCCGUGCCAGCAGCCGCGGUAAUACGGGGGGGACGAGCGUUGUUCGGAUUUACUGGGCGUAAAGGGCGCGUAGGCGGGCUUUCAAGUCGGAUGUGAAACCUGGUGGCUUAACCACCAGCCUGCAUUUGAUACUGUUGGCCUUGAGUACAGGAGAGGAGAGUGGAAUUCCAGGUGUAGCGGUGAAAUGCGUAGAUAUCUGGAAGAACACCAGUAGCGAAGGCGGCUCUCUGGACUGAUACUGACGCUCAAGCGCGAAGGCUUGGGGAGCAAACA
rnacentral:rRNA from 1 species